rnacentral:tRNA from 1 species
GGGUGUGUAGCUCAAUGGCAGAGCAUUAGGCUUUUAACUUACUGGUUGCAGGUUCGAGUCCUGCCACACUCA